AUUUUCUUUUCCAUUUUAUCUGGUUGUCCUUUUGAAUAUAUUGGAAAUUUCCCUGUAUUUUCAGUUUGAUAUUUUUCUAGUUGGGUUCAUUUGAUAGAAAGUUAAGUCACUGUAGUAUUGUAUUACUGGCAGUAUAUUUAGGGUAAAUGAUCCAAAUUUUCUAUUAGAGUGUUGCCUGGAUUAUUCUCAUCUCUCUCUCUCUCCCCUCUCCUAAUAAAUCUAAAGUAUGAUUUUCUGGUAGAUCUGGAUACGAAUUAAGCAUGUGUCCUGUUUUUUAACGUGUUUAAUAUUUCCUCUCAGGAUAUUCCAUCAUUUUUUUAGUGUAGGGCAAGUUAAGCAACAGUUAGGGGUAAGUAGGCCAGUGGAUGAAAGAUUGAUUUUGAACCUAGUUUUGCUCAAUGACCCAACAAAGUUUAGCCCAAGCAACAGCUAGGGGUUAUUGUGCUCGGGCGAAAGAUUGAUUUUGAAGUUAGUUUUGCUCAAUGAUCCAACAAAGUUUAGCCCAAGCAACGGUUAGGGGUUAUUGUGCUCGGGCGAAAGAUUGAUUUUGAACUUAGUUUUGCUCAAUGACCCAACAAAGCUUAACCCUAGGACUGUACACUCAAGGAGUAAUUCUGUGGCGAGGAGUAUAUAGGGUUGGAUGUUGUAGUUGAAGUACCAUCCUAGUCUUGGUUUGGUUAUGUGAAUCUCUUUCUUCUAUCUUUUUUUUCUUUCUUUGUAAGAAAUAGUUAACUCUGAAAUUGAUUUUGGUUCAUGAAAUCACUCUUUUACUAAAAGUUACUAAAGUGUCUUGAUCUCAGAGAUGUCAGUAGCUAAGUUUGUAAAUUUGUUGCAGGAUGGUACCACAUAUGGAUUCAAGUUUCCUCUCUGAACUUUUCACCUUCUUUCUAACAAGUGUCUGUGUUCCUCUUGUUCUCUUUCAAACUGUCUUCUGCUAGAAUUUCAUUUUGUCUAGUUCUGUUUAAACUGUGUACUACCAAUCAGAGACAAGUGAUUUGUUACUAGAAAUGUUGUCAAAUAAAGGAGAGAAAUUGUCUCUUGACAUUGUUUUUCCUUAA